GGGUUUGGGUGAGAGAGGUAUUUGUCCAAUCAUCGCAGAAUGGUGGUGAUUUUCUGCAUGAAAGUUCCCAGAAAAAUCUAUCUUUGGCUGCUCAAUUUUCGCUGAUGGACAGUGCACACACCCUGCACACGCACUCACACACUUACAAUCACAUUUCAAUCUACUGUUCUUUUAGCCAGAAGGGGAGGAUAUGUUGCCAACAUGAAAUCCUCCUCCCUCUGCUCUCCUCCAUCCUCCAUAUCUAUGUGGAAGGCUUUUGAAGAUGAUAAACUGCUAUUUUUCGACAUGCCCUCUGCUAGACUUGGACUAUCUUGCAGCUUCCUCUGGUCCUAUCAGAGCAGCCAUGACAUCCAUGCAUGUGGCAGAGGAGUGCAGGCUGUUGCACUGAGCCAAGGUUCUGGCUGCAGGCAUUGUGGUUGGCACUCCAACUCGCUACCAGGCUGUCAGCCUUGACCCUGCCGGAGCCCCAGUCACUGUUUCUUACUUCAUGCUAUUGCUGUGAGGAAAAAGGCUGAGGAGUGUGGUCAGGGACACAGUCAGAGCUAGUGGAUGUUAUUCUGACAGAUAUUUUACAAGCACCAGUUUGCUGCUCUUUAGAUUUGGGCUCACUUGUCAUAAUCUCUCCAAAUCUGAGUCACUGCAGCGUCAUAAAAUAUGAAGUGUCUGGAAGAAUAAUAAGUCCCCUGCUUCUGAUGAGCUUAAUACAAAUCAAGGCAAAAAUCUCUCCCCUAGUUUCUGAUACAUUAGCUUGAACAUUCAGAGGAGAAAUAAUUGCACUCUGUUAAACUCUGUAACCCCAUCCAUCCAUACAGCAAAAGAAUCACUUUAUGAAAGAAGUUAACAAUUGGAAGGAGGUGCAACAGGGGAAGUUAACUUGUAAAAACACAAAUCAACACAUCAAAUAUGCAAGAGCUUCUGCAGGGUAAUUUACAGAUAUUGUUCCCCUCACUUUCUCACACUGUGUGAAUUAAAUCCCAACACCAAAAUUUGCAUUUUUAGCCCCAGGCAAGUAAAACAAGGAGACUGCCGCAAGAAAGGAUCCACUCCCACAGACAGGACAAGAAAACUAAUGAAAAUCAUUUGCCACACGUACUUGAAUUUUGUGUGUUUUAUUUACUCAUUCAAUAUCGGAGUGUUUGUCUUGUUUGUGUUUGUUGUAACGGAGAGAAAAGGCGACAAAAGGCAGGUUUGUGUUCAAUCAUGAGAAAUCAUCAGCCUGUUAGUGCACCUGUUGCUGUCAUUUGUAAUCAGCUACAUCCAUUUUAUGUUAACAGUAUGUGAAAUUUUUUUUUUGUUCUGGUUAGCCUUUGGCAACUUUUUGUGCACCAACCAAAAAAACCAAAACCAUCACAAAUCAUCCGAAGUGUGAAUGGGCAUGAUUAACUGAUGAUCAAUUAAUUGAUCGUUAAGAAUUACGUUGAUCACACAAAAUUUCAAUAAAUCUAACAUUAUUAAAAAAAAAAAGUCUGACAGCGUGUGUUUAUCCUCCAGCUGCUUUCCAGCAAAGAUCAACCUCUGCUAAUCAGGAGGGAUACCCUCUUUGUCCAGACAGUGUGUGUGUGUGUUAAAGAAAUGCAGUGACUAUAACCCCGCGGAAGGAUAUUGACAUUUUACAAGGGGAGUGAUACGGCAUCAGCAGGCUUCUGUAGAAGUAAAAAAAAAAACAUGAUAAAAAAAAAACAGGAAGAAAGCAAGCCGAAGUGUGGCGUGGAACCAUUUCGAGUGGAAAAAUGAUGAGAUUUGCUGCAAACACUGCAAUGCCGUGUACAAGUACAACACGACAACACCCCAAAUGAUGUACCACUAAAUCCACUUAUAUCCGACUGAGGUUAAUGAAUCCUCUGAGUGCUCUCAUCUCAACCUACCAUCAGCUCCUUGCUGGCAAUGAGGAUCGUAGUGUGACCAGACAUCCCCGAUUUCAGGGGACAGUCCCCGUUUUGGAUGACCUGUCCCUGGGUAAAGUUGUCCCCAGAAAUGUACCCAAUUAAAGCAUUUCAUGAAUGAGAAAAAAAGUUAUUACGGUAGCCUGGCAGGUAUUUUAAAUGCCAUUUACACACACACACACACACACACAAAAUAAAAAAAUAAAAAACAAUCAAAUCGAUGAUUGAUCAUUAAUUUAUAUGUUUAAUCGAUCAAGAGACUGUCUUCAAAUGCCCAUUCCUAAUCCCAAGUGGUCUGGAGUAAGUAGGGCAGCCAGACAAAGUUGGUUGAUGCCAAAUUUAGCUUAUGUUUUAUCUUGUAUGAAGCUCAUUUAGACAGUUUAUUUAGUUUUGUUUAUUUAAUGGUUUAUUUGACUGGACACAUACAUGAGACAUUGCUUCAUUGUUUAAACAAAGUAUAUGAUUUGCAAACAGGUGUCUCUCUACAUACAGCGUAUCAAGUUCAACAAGAUUAGUGACACAAUUUGAAACUCUACAAACUCUGGGCUGUCAUUCAUUUUCUGACCAAUAACCAUCAAUCCUACUUAAAAGCAGUGAGACAAACUGACAUGUCUUAACUGUAGAAGCUCCUUAUUAUUAAGCUAGAUAACAGUAUUCAGCUGCCACUAUGAACUGUGUUAGUGAAGAGGGAAGUCCUAAAUUAGUGAUGUAGCUCUUUACAGCAAGAGUGCAUCAAAGUGUUCCCAGUGCUUCUGAAACUUGAGUUUUCUUUAACCCCUGACUGUCAGGGAUCAAACUGCAUACUUUGCCUUUAAUUUAAGAGUUUAUCCUUUUCAUGCUACUUGAGUUACCAUCAGUUGGAUGUAAAGAACAUUUCUGAUGAUUUAUAUAGACAACAUGUCAACAUGAUCUGUUAGGGUUUGACUUGCACCAACAUUUGGAUGCUGUAGAGCCUCAGAAGUCCUACAAAAGCGAUCACUUACGUUAUCCACUCACACAGAUAAAAGGAUUAGGCAUUUGGAAAGUGGUUGCGUUAUGCUCUCUUGACAUAAGUGAUGAGUUAGACAUAAACAUUCAGUUUUGGCUCCGACACAUAGUAUACUCUAAUAACAUAACAAUGUUGCCAUGUAGUUACUGUAAGAUUGGUUUGUACUCGAGUCCGUCUGCCUCCUCGCUGGGUGUAGCCACCGUGAGAACACCCCCCCCUAUGGUAUAGGUCAUAAGUCCGGCCUCCUCCAGCAAUCCUUAUGGAGUUGUGGACAAACUUUACAAAUUAAUUACAUAGAAACCCCCCCCCCCCGUUGCAAUGUUGCCAUGUAGUUACUGUAAGAUUGCGUAGCUCGUCCCCAUACAAUGUUCUUAUGAGGUGUACGAAGAUUGCGUAGCUCGUCCCCAUACAAUGCUACUGUGCAAUUGGUGGUUCCAUGAAGUGGAGAAAAUCCCAGAGAGCAAUUCGGCUUUAAAUUCCUAUAUUGACUGAAAGUGGAUCAAGUUGUCCAUAGUAUAUACAGUCUAUUGUUUGAACAGAUAAAAAAAAAUGUUUUUGCUAACUUUGUGUUUCAUUUAUGUUAUAAUGGAGACCAGUUAACUUCUCUGAGACUUGACUGUAUUCAAUUGAUUCAAUUGUGCAUAAUAAAAUCCUGCCAACAUUAAUCCUUUAUUUAUUUAUUUAUUUUAAUUUAACCUUUAUUUAACCAGGAAUGUCCCAUUGAGUUUAAAAACCCAGUUUUUCAAGGGAGUCCUGGCCAAGAGGCAGCAAAAAGUUAGUUUCAACACUGAUUGUCCUGUUUGCUUUCAAAAAAAAAAAAUUAUUUCACAUAAAAAAAAAAAUCCUUAAAUUUUUAUCACUACCAAGUACUGAGAGAAGAAAAGAUAAUCCUUCAGUCGAUGGGAAAUAUUCAUUGAUUUACCAGUAAAUAAAUCCUAUUAGACUACUUAAUGAAUCACCAGAAUAAUCAUAAUACUCAAACACUCAAAUACUGAAGUGCACUCUUAAACUAUGCCCAGCAAACCAUGGUACUGACCAAGUCCACCACCAAUGUAAUGUUUUUAGAGUUAAACAGUUUAUACACAACCAAAAGGACAGAUUACAGGCAACUAAUGGCAUUCAUGAACAAGUAAGGCCAACUGAUGGUAAGUGGGAUCAUCACCACUGCUGCAAUUAUAAAGAUCAUUCACUUGUGUAUCUGAAAAAAAAAGAUUUGUGCACAAGUUUAGUAACAAAGAUGGAAAGGACAUUCAUAUUCAGUCAGUUGACGUGAGAUCCAUCCAAAGAGGUUUCUGUUCGAGGACAUUCAGGGGAUCGAUCUGAUCUGACCAUACAUUAAAAAAAACAAACAAACAAAAAAACAGCUGAUGUAGAAGUAGACAGGUGACUCUUGUUCCCCUUUGGAUCUACCAAAGCGUUUCUGGCUGCAGUGUAUGUGGGACUGGUUUACAAUAACUGGUAUAAACACUUUGAAAACACACUUCACACCCAUGAAGAUUUCCAAGGGCAGUGUUGCCAAGUUGUCAAUGGACAUUCACCUCAAAUGUGCAGAGAUCCAGCGUGCUCCAUUGUGCAUUUGGAAAAAGGAGACAUCUGGUUCAACAGUCACUUCACAUAUGGACUCUUUGAGCUACUUUUUGACCUUCAUUACAUGUAACCUCUCUUUUUCUUCGCAGACAUCUUAAUCUCUGCCUGAUAUCUUCUUUUGCUGACCACAGCCAUUAACGCUCCAUUAUCAUCACAUUCUCAAGAGUUUUAAGCACAUCAGACUGACUUUAAGUGACUAAUUUACUUCCAGUCGGCAGACAGACAGCACGAUUGGCAAUCCCUCUUAUCACCAUGUGAGGGGAAGUGGGUUGCCAGGUUGAGAUGAGGUCACACAUGGUCUACAGGCCAGCUACGGGGUCCUGGCUCUGCCUCAUGGCUUUAACAGCAGGGCACAGACACACACAUGCACACAAAUACACACACAUACUCGCAGGAACUGGCAGCUCAGAGGAAUGCUCUCAUUCAGCACAGGGGCAUCGGAAGUCUGUCAGAAUGAAGCUGUGCUACUGAGCUGUGCGCUGAUGUAACUACCACAGAGCUGGCAGUUUGGGGUUGCCAGUUCAGUCUCAGACAAAAAAGAUACACAAACAUACACAUACAGGAAAAAAAUAAACAACCAAGCUGAAACUGUGAGACUUUACACACUGCUAUUCAGAUGUUGUUGUCAGACAAAAUGACAAUUUCUUGCUGUUCAGUUGACACUGAUAUAAUCUAUGCACAUAGAAAUGAGAUAUCAUACAGGUUUGCAUUUAUUUACACAUUCCCCUGAGUCGACUCUUCAUUUAUUUCACUUCCCUGCCUGCAAAUGCUUAUUGGAAUGAGCACAGGAAGCCAAAUAGAGAUGCAACGAUUGACAAAAACCACAUCUUGGGCUUUAAAUGAGAGUUUAGGUGCGUAGUGGGCAUAUUUACAGCUGUUAAACAAACAGCCUUUAAGGAGAGAGGGGGGAUGAGCAGGAUGGAGACGGGGAGAAGGAGAAAUAAACUGACUGUAAACGGUGGACCAGCGGAGACCCCCGACAACAAGCUGCAUAAUGCAACAAAAGAAGGGAUGAUGUUUGUGUCAGGGUACUUUCUAAUAUUCAUACGUUACAUUUUCCAACUUAAUUGGAAUCUGUCAGGGCGCAUUGGCCGUGAGUGGCAUCACAGCAGCAGCUGGGUCGUUUCCCCACGGCUGAUGAGAUGCAAUAAAAAGAGAGAGAGAGUGAGAGAGAAAGCAAGAGGGAAGUGGAUUGCAGGGCACCGAAUGAAAUGCAAUUCAGAGUCAAUGGGAGACAAAAACACAUUACUGCGAGCAUGGCUUGAGUAAACCUGUAAAGGGGAGAUUGUUUAAGACUAAUACUUCCACCUAUUCAAAGCCGGCUGUGUCCCCCUGGGGUUUGUCUCACUACUAUCAUUUCCAUUUGUCUGUCUAUUUAUCUAGAUCUCAUACAGUUGUACAAAUGCAUACAAACACAAACUGACAUGAACAUAUAGAAACAUAUCCACAUAUUCACAGGGGCUUAAA